rnacentral:rRNA from 1 species
CACGUAGGGCGCAAGCGUUGUCCGGAAUUAUUGGGCGUAAAGAGCUCGUAGGCGGUUUGUCGCGUCGGCUGUGAAAACCCGGGGCUCAACCCCGGGCCUGCAGUCGAUACGGGCAAACUAGAGUGUGGUAGGGGAGACUGGAAUUCCUGGUGUAGCGGUGAAAUGCGCAGAUAUCAGGAGGAACACCGGUGGCGAAGGCGGGUCUCUGGGCCAUAACUGACGCUGAGGAGCGAAAGCGUGGGGAGCGAACAGG